rnacentral:rRNA from 1 species
GGGGAAUAUUGCACAAUGGGGGAAACCCUGAUGCAGCAACGCCGCGUGAAGGAAGAAGGCCUUCGGGUUGUAAACUUCUUUGAUAGGGGACGAUAAUGACGGUACCCUAAGAACAAGCCACGGCUAACUACGUGCCAGCAGCCGCGGUAAUACGUAGGUGGCAAGCGUUGUCCGGAAUUACUGGGUGUAAAGGGCGUGUAGACGGGAUUGCAAGUCAGAUGUGAAAGCCCCAGGCUUAACCUGGGAACUGCAUCUGAAACUGUGAUUCUUGAGUGUCGGAGAGGAAAGCGGAAUUCCUAGUGUAGCGGUGAAAUGCGUAGAUAUUAGGAGGAACACCAGUGGCGAAGGCGGCUUUCUGGACGAUAACUGACGUUGAGGCGCGAAAGCGUGGGGAGCAAAC